rnacentral:rRNA from 1 species
UACGUAGGGCGCAAGCGUUGUCCGGAAUUAUUGGGCGUAAAGAGCUCGUAGGCGGUCUGUUGCGUCCGCUGUGAAAACUCGGGGCUUAACCCCGAGCCUGCAGUGGAUACGGGCAGACUAGAGGUAGGUAGGGGAGAAUGGAAUUCCCGGUGUAGCGGUGAAAUGCGCAGAUAUCGGGAGGAACACCAAUGGCGAAGGCAGAUCUCUGGGCCGUAACUGACGCUGAGGAGCGAAAGCAUGGGGAGCGAACAGG